UCUAAGCACAUGCCUUAAUACGGUGAAGCCGCGAAUAGCUCAUUACAACAGCCAUCGUUUAUUAGAAUAUCGUUAUCCUACUUGGAUAACUGUGGCAAUUCUAGAGCUAAUACAUGCAAUAAAGCUCCGCCCGCAAGGAACGAGCGCAUUUAUUAGAAUAAAAACCAAUCGAGUUUCGACUCGUAAUUUGGUGAAUCUGAAUAACUUUGCCAAUCGCACAGUCCUAGUACUGGCGAUGUAUCUUUCAAGUGUCUGCCUUAUCAACUUUCGAUGGUACGCUAUACGCCUACCAUGGUAGUAACGGGUAACGGAGAAUAAGGGUUCGACUCCGGAGAGGGAGCCUGAGAAACGGCUACCACAUCCAAGGAAGGCAGCAGGCGCGCAAAUUACCCACUUCCAGAACGGAGAGGUAGUGACGAAAAAUUACGAGACAGUCCUCUUC
rnacentral:rRNA from 1 species